rnacentral:rRNA from 1 species
CCUGGUGAAAUUAGCGCUAUGGAACCACCCGAUCCCAUCCCGAACUCGGAAGUGAAACGUAGCUGCGCCGAUGGUAGUGUGGCUCAAGCCAUGCGAGAGUANGCGGUAGGGA